rnacentral:rRNA from 1 species
AUACGUAGGGUGCAAGCGUUAAUCGGAAUUACUGGGCGUAAAGCGUGCGCAGGCGGUUUUGUAAGACAGUGGUGAAAUCCCCGGGCUCAAACUGGGAACUGCCAUUGUGACUGCAAGGCUGGAGUGCGGCAGAGGGGGGUGGAAUUCCGCGGGGAGCAGGGAAAUGCGUAGAUAUGCGGAGGAACACCGAUGGCGAAGGCAAUCCCCUGGGCCUGCACUGACGCUCAUGCACGAAAGCGUGGGGAGCAAACAGGAUUAGAUACCCUGGUAGUCCACGCCCUAAACGAUGUCAACUGGUUGUUGGGGAUUUAUUUUCUCAAUAACGAAGCUAACGCGUGAAGUUGACCGCCUGGGGAGUACGGCCGCAAGGUUAAAACUCAAAGGAAUUGACGGGG